UACAGAGGUCCCGAGCGUUGUUCGGAUUCACUGGGCGUAAAGGGUGCGUAGGUGGCAAGGUAAGUUUGAUGUGAAAUCUUCGAGCUCAACUCGGAAACUGCAUUGAAUACUAUCUUGCUUGAGGAUUGGAGGGGAGGCGUGGAAUUCUCGGUGUAGCAGUGAAAUGCGUAGAUAUCGAGAGGAACACCAGAGGCGAAGGCGACUUCCUGGACCAAUACUGACGCUCAUGUGCGAAAGCGUGGGGGCAAACAGG
rnacentral:rRNA from 1 species